rnacentral:rRNA from 1 species
UGCAGUCGAGCGANGCAACGGCGGUGGGUAACCACUGCCGUUGACGGAGCNNNNNACGGGUGAGUAACACGUGAGCAACCUGCCCCGAAGACCGGGAUAGCCCGGGGAAACCCGGAUUAAUACCGGAUGACCUCGAUGGAUCGCAUGAUCCGUCGAGCAAAAGCUUUCGCGCUUCGGGAUGGGCUCGCGGCCUAUCAGCUCGUUGGUGAGGUAACGGCUCACCAAGGCUACGACGGGUAGCUGGUCUGAGAGGAUGGCCAGCCACACUGGGACUGAGACACGGCCCAGACUCCUACGGGAGGCAGCAGCAGGGAAUCUUGCGCAAUGGGCGAAAGCCUGACGCAGCGACGCCGCGUGGGGGAUGAAGGCCUUCGGGUUGUAAACCCCUUUCAGGAGGGACGAAAUCGACGGUACCUCCAGAAGAAGCCCCGGCCAACUACGUGCCAGCAGCCGCGGUAAGACGUANGGGGCAAGCGUUGUCCGGAUUUAUUGGGCGUAAAGAGCUCGUAGGCGGCUCAGCAAGUCGGCCGUGAAAGCCCACGGCUCAACCGUGGGAAGUCGGUCGAUACUGCUGUGGCUAGAGUCCGGUAGAGGAGAGUGGNNNUCCCGGUGUAGCGGUGAAAUGCGCAGANNUCGGGAGGAACACCAGUAGCGAAGGCGGCUCUCUGGGCCNGNACUGACNCUGAGGANCGAAAGCGUNNNGNGNAAACAGGAUUAGAUACCC